GACGAACGCUGGCGGCGUGCCUAAUACAUGCAAGUAGAACGCUGAAGAGAGGAGCUUGCUCUUCUUGGAUGAGUUGCGAACGGGUGAGUAACGCGUAGGUAACCUGCCUUGUAGCGGGGGAUAACUAUUGGAAACGAUAGCUAAUACCGCAUAACAAUGGAUGACACAUGUCAUUUAUUUGAAAGGGGCAAUUGCUCCACUACAAGAUGGACCUGCGUUGUAUUAGCUAGUAGGUGAGGUAAUGGCUCACCUAGGCGACGAUACAUAGCCGACCUGAGAGGGUGAUAGCCCCCCCUGGAAUGGGACCACGCCCCAGCCUCCUACGGGAGGCACCAGAAGGGAAUCUCCGGCAAUGGGGCAACCCUGACCGAGCAACGCCGCGUGAGUGAAGAAGGUUUUCGGAUCGUAAAGCUCUGUUGUAAGUCAAGAACGGGUGUGAGAGUGGAAAGUUCACACUGUGACGGUAGCUUACCAGAAAGGGACGGCUAACUACGUG
rnacentral:rRNA from 1 species